UAAUAAGUGUUCUACUGCACUUUUUAAACAAGUACUCACCUUGUGUGCAAUGUUUGCUGGCGAGUCGUUUACUCGUCGCGUCAGCAUAAUACCAACCUUUUUUUUAUAAUCUUUUGUCUUAAGCUAUUUUGAAUAACAUAAUUCUUAAUA
rnacentral:misc_RNA from 1 species